GACGGAGGGGGCUAGCGUUGUUCGGAAUUACUGGGCGUAAAGCGCACGUAGGCGGCCUUCUAAGUCGGACGUGAAAUCCCUCGGCUUAACCGAGGAACUGCGUCCGAUACUGAAAGGCUUGAAUCCGGGAGAGGGAUGUGGAAUUCCACGUGUAGCGGUGAAAUGCGUAGAGAUGUGGAGGAACACCAGUGGCGAAGGCGGCUCUUUGGUCUGUAACUGACGCUGAGGCGCGAAAGCGUGGGGAGCGAACAGG
rnacentral:rRNA from 1 species